rnacentral:rRNA from 1 species
GACGAACGCUGGCGGCGUGCUUAACACAUGCAAGUCGAACGGAAAGGCCCUGCUUUUGUGGGGUGCUCGAGUGGCGAACGGGUGAGUAACACGUGAGUAACCUGCCCUUGACUUUGGGAUAACUUCAGGAAACUGGGGCUAAUACCGGAUAGGAGCUCCUGCUGCAUGGUGGGGGUUGGAAAGUUUCGGCGGUUGGGGAUGGACUCGCGGCUUAUCAGCUUGUUGGUGGGGUAGUGGCUUACCAAGGCUUUGACGGGUAGCCGGCCUGAGAGGGUGACCGGCCACAUUGGGACUGAGAUACGGCCCAGACUCCUACGGGAGGCAGCAGAGGGGAAUAUUGCACAAUGGGCGGAAGCCUGAUGCAGCAACGCCGCGUGCGGGAUGACGGCCUUCGGGUUGUAAACCGCUUUCGCCUGUGACGAAGCGUGAGUGACGGUAAUGGGUAAAGAAGCACCGGCUAACUACGUG